rnacentral:lncRNA from 10 species
AUUCAAUCUGGGUUCUUAAAUUUUUCAGAUCUAAAUGAACUUUAAAAUAUGCUUGGAUAUAUCUCUGAGGAAUAUAACCUUAACAUUUUUCAGUGUUCAACCUAGACUAAUAAUAAUAUCAGCAACUCUGGUUUGGGGAUCACAGAACUCACAAACCAUUCACAUCUGGCACAUUUCAUACCCCUUUCCUGAUUCUACUGUAAGAACAGUCAACAGGAAAUAUGUUCACCGUAAAUGACUGUGAGGCAGUGAUGCAUGCUGCAGCUUCAUUCUUCUGGGAGAGUCUGAGUUUCCACCAUAAGAAAAGUCAGAGAUGUAGUUAUUUCCUGUCUUCCUCUUCACUGAAUCCUUGGACAGUACCCAUUUUAUGUUCUUAAGUGAAAAUGCUUUCUUCACUGUGUGUCUGAAAGUGUACGAAGUAUGUUUCUGAACAGAGUGCCUAUUGGAUCUUCUCUACAAUCAUAGUAGAGCUCAAAAGAACUUUGUUCAGGGUCCAGCUAAUUUUCUUUUUCUUUUUCUUUUUUUCCUGCCCCACAGCUAUUGUUGGAGUGUCAUAUGGGCAUCUCUCUCAUCUCCCAGAUCGAUGGCAUCGUCUAGGACUUCCCACAUAGACAAGAUAAACGAAAGGCUUCCAUGGACAGCUUGAGCCCUGAGGGCGGUGCCGAGCUGACAGCCUGGAACAUUGACCAACGCGCUGCAACUGACGUGUAAAUCACCCUCCGACUAGGGGUCCCGAAUCUGGAAAAGGAAAUGUCAUCUUUGGACUUUGCCCAUCAUGUGUUUAUGCACGAACAGUCCUUUCAAGUGCCUCUCUCCACCUUUGCAGACAAGUGGCAUAAUGCAGGUAGAGAUCACAUUUUUGGAGUUUAUUCCUAAGACUGGCUGUUAGUUUUUAUAAACAUUCCUUUUAUCUGAAAUUUAACCAUAAUUUUUUUUUCUUAAAAUGCCAUAUCUUCCUAUAUUUAGAGGGCAGGAUGCCAAGUCCAUAUCUACUCAAUAUAUCAAAUAUUUUCAGUAAGCC